rnacentral:sRNA from 1 species
CAAGAGCCGGUCAAUGUCAUUACCCUCACGUUAGGAUAUGGGAAUACCAGCGUUGA